UGCACCUAAAAUAAUUAUUAAGUUAAAAUAUUUAUAACUUAUCAACUAAAAGAAUGAGAAUUGCUUGUGCAGACUCCAAUCCAUAUUCCAUAUUUUACAUAUCAGUAUUCGCAGUAUUUGACAAACAUCACAGUAUCAGUAUUUGCAGUAUUUGACAAACAUCACAGCAUGCCAAACUUGAAUUAAAUUUCCUUUCCGUAAGAUUUGAUUUUCUUCCACAAGCAACAAAUUUUUGAUUUCUUUCACAUUCAAAUCUUUGACGAACGAGUAUAUUCAAUCUAUUUAAACCUCAAUUCCUCACCCCCAACUCACCUCUUCAUCUGUUCAUUUAACUAAAAUUUGCAGAUUCUCUCUACAAAACCCCAGCUGGUGCGGCGCGAUUAGGACGUGAACUUUAAAUUAUCGCAGUUAACUUUCAAAGCUCAAGUUUCAGGUGUGGGAUUUAUUUCAGUACAUGCACGUGGUUAAUAUUUGUCCAUUUUAAUAUUAUGUGUUUACCGUAUGUGUUGUAAAAAUAUUUAUCGCUAGGGGCCAGCAUAAUUGGUCCAGGACUUCACCGUCCUUGGUAUGCCACAAUGCGAUUUCAUGUUACAGGGUUGCAACCAUUAUAUUGUCGCCAGGGAUCCAUAUAUAGGGUCCGGGACAUUAAAGUCCUUGGAGUUGCCACAGUGCGUAUGGAAGUUAUGUUACGUUAUGACAAUAUGUGUUACCAUUUUAUUAACAUGGACAAUUAUUGCAUGUUCCCACACUGAGUGUACCAUGUAUGCUCAUCCCAUAUUCAACAGUUUCAGGUGAUUGAUAUCGGAGGCGCGUGGAGAGUUGAAUGGGCGCGUCGAAUCUAUUUAAAAAUAAAUGUUUCUUAAAACAUAUUAUGUUAUUUCAUGUGAUAUCUUUUGGUUAUGUAAACUCUGAAAUUCUAUACUAUUUGAGAUUUGUGUGUGAUUUAUUUAAAUAAAUGUUGUUAUAUUAUUUUAA